UGCCUCUCCAGCGAUUCCUUGGCCCCAGUCCCCAUCGGGCAUGCCGUGCCUGUGCCGUGCCUGCAGCUAGCGACGGCGCCUGUGGUCCCGAAAGCCGCAGUGCCUGCUAGUUCAGGUUGGCAAACUUGGACUUGUACACUCCUCCACUGUCCCAGCAGCCAGGGACUCACACUGAGCGCAGAUCUCGCCCCAUGCGGAGCUCAGGUCUGGUUUGGCCAUGGCCAUGUCCACCUCCACAAUGGCCUGCAAUGACGCCUGCCGCGUGGCCAGCGGCUUGGCCACCUCCGCCUCUUACACCCGGCGCACGAAGGCCAGCCAGUUCAGCAGAGACUCCAGCUUCUUCUUCAGGUCCAGGAGGGCCACCCAGGCGCCAUCCACGUUACGCUCAACGGGCCCGACACUCUCGCCUCUUCCAAGUGUGACUGCAGCAGCCGCACCUCUUUCCCCAGGCCGUGGAAGCAGCGAGGCCUGCGCAUGCGCCGAGCGCGCCUCCGCCUGCUGCGCACGCAGCUGGCGCCGGAAGAGCCCGUGACACGCGACGGGCCUGUGUGGCGCUUCCCCAGCGCCACCACCUCGGCUUGGCGCGCGCUUUUCUGUCUCUGGCGGGUGCACCUCCGCGGGGAAAGUGGCCCUCAGGUCUUCCAACUGCUCCUUCCAUGGACGCGGAUGAUCCUGGGUUCGUCGGUGUGCACAGCCGCCUGUGAACGCCGCAGGGCCUCUGGUGGAGGCCAGGCUCAAACCCAGGCCCAGACGGAGCGUCGAGGCCGCACCGCCGCGGGGCAGGGACUUCGAGCCGCCGUGGCCCCCAGCGCUGGAGCGUCGCGAGGACAGGCGAGGGCCACCUCCGAACACCUCGUGGUAGCAGGAGGCGCCGCCCAGUGGCUGAGGGCAGAAAAUUCCAAGGACCAAGAAAAGGGUGAAGCCACAGAUGGAAGAAACUGGAUUUCCAGAAUGACACAUGGUGAGCAGCCUGUCAAUCAGGAACACUUCACCUGACUUCAUGUGAGCAAUAAAUUUCUGUUGCCUUAAGCCAACUGGGAUUUGGGAGUUAUUUUUGUUUUG
rnacentral:lncRNA from 1 species